UUCCUUUUGUGGCUCAUGAGCAUGAUGAAUGGGUAUUCACUCAUUUGUGUGAAACGUGCCUCCUCUGACAUGUAAAAAAGAAAAAGAAAAUAAGACUCUUACA
rnacentral:snoRNA from 1 species